rnacentral:rRNA from 1 species
GUACGCUGGCGGCACGCCUUAUACAUGCAAGUCGAACGCAGUAGCAAUACUGAGUGGCAAACGGGUGAGUAUAAUGUGGGUAUCUGCCUUUUGGUUUGGAAUAACAUGAGGAAACUUGUGCUAAUACCGGAUAAGCCUUCACAGGGAAAGUUUUAUACGCCGAAAGAUGAGCCCGCACUUGAUUAGUUUGUUGGUGAGGUAAUGGCUCACCAAGACAAUUAUCAAUAGCUGGUCUGAGAGGACGAUCAGCCACAUUGGGACUGAGACACGGCCCAGACUCCUACGGGAGGCAGCAGUAAGGAAUCUUGCACAAUGGGGGAAACCCUGAUGCAGCGAUGCCGCGUGAGUGAAGAAGGCCCUUGGGUUGUAAAACUCUUUCGUCGGGGAAGAAAAUGACUGUACCCGAAUAAGAAGGUCCGGC